rnacentral:misc_RNA from 1 species
ACACAUACACUAUUACAAGCA